AUUGAACGCUGGCGGCAUGCUUUACACAUGCAAGUCGAACGGCAGCACGGGUGCUUGCACCUGGUGGCGAGUGGCGAACGGGUGAGUAAUGCAUCGGAACGUGCCCAUGAGUGGGGGAUAGCCCGGCGAAAGCCGGAUUAAUACCGCAUACGCCCUUAGGGGGGAAAGCGGGGGGAUCUUCGGACCUCGCGCUAUUGGAGCGGCCGAUGUCGGAUUAGCUAGUAGGUGAGGUAAAGGCUCACCUAGGCGACGAUCCGUAGCUGGUCUGAGAGGAUGAUCAGCCACACUGGGACUGAGACACGGCCCAGACUCCUACGGGAGGCAGCAGUGGGGAAUUUUGGACAAUGGGCGCAAGCCUGAUCCAGCCAUGCCGCGUGAGUGAAGAAGGCCUCGGUUGUAAG
rnacentral:rRNA from 1 species